AACCACUAAGUGUCUUCACUUAACCUGUUCAGGAACUGCGUGAGACCAAGCGCCGGCACGAGACCCGGCUGGUGGAGAUUGAUAAUGGGAAGCAGCGAGAGUUUGAGAGCCGGCUGGCAGAUGCUCUGCAGGAGCUGCGGGCCCAGCAUGAGGACCAGGUGGAGCAGUACAAGAAGGAGCUAGAAAAGACAUACUCUGCCAAGGUGCUGGCCUCAUCCCAUCCUCUCCGGGGUGCUGCUGUAGCAGCCUAUCCUACCCAUGCCGGGUGUGCCCUGAGGACGGGUGGAUGGCAGCAGGGGGAUGCUGUCGAUCCUCUGGCCCGCACCUCCAGGUUCCUGCUGUAAUAAUUGUGUGCUUUCUGCAGCUGGAUAAUGCCCGGCAGUCUGCCGAGAGGAACAGCAACCUCGUGGGAGCUGCCCAUGAGGAGCUCCAGCAGUCUCGAAUCCGCAUUGACAGCCUCUCAGCCCAGCUCAGCCAGCUCCAGAAGCAGGUAAUCCACAGUUUACCCUUCUCACCACGGCACUGGUCUAAGCAGAUAUUUGCAGAAACCCACUGAGAAGAGGAAGAGAGGGGAAAGGGGACCCCAGGAUCACAAGCCAUGGUUUGGAAUCUGGCACUGUCUGGUUUUCCA
rnacentral:lncRNA from 1 species